GAUGAACGCUAGCGGCAGGCUUAAUACAUGCAAGUCGAGGGACAGCACAGGUAGCAAUACUGGGUGGUAACCGGCAAACGGGUGCGGAACACGUACACAACCUUCCUUUAAGUGGGGAUAGCCCAGAGAAAUUUGGAUUAAUACCCCGUAAUAUAGUUGAAAGGCAUCAUUUGAUUAUUAUAGCUACGGCGCUUAAUGAUGGGUGUGCGGCUGAUUAGAUAGUUGGCGGGGUAACGGCCCACCAAGUCUACGAUCAGUAGCUGAUGUGAGAGCAUGAGCAGCCACACGGGCACUGAGACACGGGCCCGACUCCUACUGGAGGCAGCAGUAAGGAAUAUUGGUCAAUGGACGCAAGUCUGAACCAGCCAUGCCGCGUGGAGGAUUAAGGUCCUCUGGAUUGUAAACUUCUUUUAUUUGGGACGAAAAAGGGCCUUUCUAGGUCAACUGACGGUACCAGAUGAAUAAGCACCGGCUAACUCCGUGCCAGCCGCCGCCGUAACAC
rnacentral:rRNA from 1 species